rnacentral:rRNA from 1 species
UGGUGGAGUGAUUUGUCUGGUUAAUUCCGAUAACGAGCGAGACCUUAACCUGCUAAAUAGUUGGGCAAGGGCAACCUUGUUCCAACUUCUUAGAGGGACUACGUACGUUUAGUACUUGGAAGUUUGAGGCAAUAACA